GACGAACGCUGGCGGCGUGCUUAACACAUGCAAGUUGAACGGUAAGGCCCUUCGGGGUACACGAGUGGCGAACGGGUGAGUAACACGUGGGUGAUCUGCCCUGCACUUCGGGAUAAGCCUGGGAAACUGGGUCUAAUACCGGAUAGGACUACUGCCUGCAUGGGUGGUGGUGGAAAGCUUUUGCGGUGUGGGAUGGGCCCGCGGCCUAUCAGCUUGUUGGUGGGGUGAUGGCCUACCAAGGCGACGACGGGUAGCCGGCCUGAGAGGGUGACCGGCCACACUGGGACUGAGAUACGGCCCAGACUCCUACGGGAGGCAGCAGUGGGGAAUAUUGCACAAUGGGCGCAAGCCUGAUGCAGCGACGCCGCGUGAGGGAUGACGGCCUUCGGGUAGUAAACCUCUUUCAGCACCGACGAAGCGCAAGUGACGGUAGGUGCAGAAGAAGGACCGGCCAACUACGUGCCAGCCGCCGCCGUAA
rnacentral:rRNA from 1 species